CGAUUUCCUCUACCUUGCCACCUAGCUCGAAGGCUAAGAGGUUAGAGUUUUUUUUUUUUAAAUCGCCAAAAGUCUAUUUACAUGUAUAUCUUCACUUGUAUGUACAUACUUAUUGAUAUAUAUACAUACAUGUGGUAGUUCCUUAAUAGGAAGAAUAGUUUUUCUCCACUCUUUUUUCUCUCAUACUGCACACAGAGACUCAUGCCAACAAUUUGGCUAAAAGAAAUACUGGAUUAUGGUCUCUCAUGCUUUUCUACGGAUCUUUGAGUGUGUAAAGCCGCAUAAACCUCUUGCCGGAUAAGUUUCAAACUGACAGGAAAAACCAUAUCUCUAGGUCCAUCAAAUUCCAAUUUUUUCUAUACUCUGUUCUUUUAAGUUAUGAUUUGAUUUUCUUAUUAGGCUCUUUUUUUUUUUUUCUUUUGUGAUGUUGCAACAACGUUUUAUAUCCGUGAUUUAUCAUCCGGUUAGAUUCUAGACAAUUUUGGGUGAAUCAUAUUUAAUUUAUUCUUUAAGUUACUCUA